rnacentral:sRNA from 1 species
CCAACAAUCACCACCGCGAUGAUGCCGGGGAUUAAAAG